rnacentral:tRNA from 1 species
GUCCCCGUAGUUCAACGGAUAGAACAUCUGGUUGCGGACUAGAAGCUUGGAGGUUCGAUUCCUCCCGGGGACACCA